rnacentral:rRNA from 1 species
AUACGUAUGUCGCAAGCGUUAUCCGGAUUUAUUGGGCGUAAAGCGCGUCUAGGCGGCUUAGUAAGUCUGAUGUGAAAAUGCGGGGCUCAACCCCGUAUUGCGUUGGAAACUGCUAAACUAGAGUACUGGAGAGGUAGGCGGAACUACAAGUGUAGAGGUGAAAUUCGUAGAUAUUUGUAGGAAUGCCGAUGGGGAAGCCAGCCUACUGGACAGAUACUGACGCUAAAGCGCGAAAGCGUGGGUAGCAAACAGGAUUAGAUACCCUGGUAGUCCACGCCGUAAACGAUGAUUACUAGGUGUUGGGGGUCGAACCUCAGCGCCCAAGCUAACGCGAUAAGUAAUCCGCCUGGGGAGUACGUACGCAAGUGUGAAACUCAAAGGAAUUGACGGGG